CCUACGGGAGGCAGCAGUGAGGAAUAUUGGUCAAUGGACGAGAGUCUGAACCAGCCAAGUAGCGUGAAGGAUGACUGCCCUAUGGGUUGUAAACUUCUUUUAUAAAGGAAUAAAACGAGGCACGUGUGCCUUUUUGCAUGUACUUUAUGAAUAAGGAUCGGCUAACUCCGUGCCAGCAGCCGCGGUAAUACGGAGGAUCCGAGCGUUAUCCGGAUUUAUUGGGUUUAAAGGGGUGUUAGAUGGGUUGUUAAGUCAGCGGUAAAAUCGAGGGGCUCAACCCCUUUAAGCCGUUGAAACUGGUGAUCUUGAGUGGGCGAGAAGUAUGCGGAAUGCGUGGUGUAGCGGUGAAAUGCAUAGAUAUCACGCAGAACUCCGAUUGCGAAGGCAGCAUACCGGCGCCCGACUGACGCUGAGGCACGAAAGCGUGGGGAUCGAACAGGAUUAGAUACCCUUGUAGUC
rnacentral:rRNA from 1 species